GGGAGGAGGCCAGAUCCUGGGCUGUGUUCCCGGCGCCCAGUGCUCCCGGGCCUGCGCUGUUGGAUUCGCGCUCCCGCCCCGCAGCCCCCU
rnacentral:pre_miRNA from 1 species